UGGGGAAUAUUGCGCAAUGGGGGGAACCCUGACGCAGCCAUGNCGCGUGAAUGAAGAAGGCCUUAGGGUUGUAAAGUUCUUUCGGUAUUGAGGAAGGUUGAUGUGUUAAUAGCACAUCAAAUUGACGUUAAAUACAGAAGAAGCACCGGCUAACUCCGUGCCAGCAGCCGCGGUAAUACGGAGGGUGCGAGCGUUAAUCGGAAUAACUGGGCGUAAAGGGCACGCAGGCGGUUAUUUAAGUGAGGUGUGAAAGCCCCGGGCUUAACCUGGGAAUUGCAUUUCAGACUGGGUAACUAGAGUACUUUAGGGAGGGGUAGAAUUCCACGUGUAGCGGUGAAAUGCGUAGAGAUGUGGAGGAAUACCGAAGGCGAAGCNNGCCCCUUGGGAAUGUACUGACGCUCAUGUGCGAAAGCGUGGGGAGCAAACAGGAUUAGAUACCCUGGUAGUCCACGCUGUAAACGCUGUCGAUUUGGGGGUUGGGGUUUAACUCUGGCGCCCGUAGCUAACGUGAUAAAUCGACCGCCUGGGGAGUACGGCCGCAAGGUU
rnacentral:rRNA from 1 species